AUUGAACGCUGGCGGCGUGCCUAACACAUGCAAGUCGAGCGGCAGCGGGCCCGCAAGGGUGCCGGCGAGCGGCGGACGGGUGAGCAAUACAUAGGAAUCUACCUCAGAGCGGGGGAUAGCCAGGGGAAACCCUGAUUAAUACCGCAUGAUGUCGAGAGACCAAAGUGGUGGACCGUAAGGCCUCACACUCUGCGAUGAGUCUAUGUCGGCGUAGCUAGUUGGCGGGGUAACGGCCCACCAAGGCGACGAUCCGUAGCUGGUCUGAGAGGACGAUCAGCCACACCGGAACUGAGACACGGUCCGGACUCCUACGGGAGGCAGCAGUGGGGAAUAUUGGACAAUGGGCGAAAGCCUGAUCCAGCGACGCCGCGUGGGUGAAGAAGGCCUUCGGGUUGUAAAGCCCUUUAAGCCGGGACGAAAAAGCCGCUCCUAACACGAGUGGCCUUGACGGUACCGGAAGAAUAAGCACCGGCUAACUCUGUGCCAGCCGCCGCCGUAACAC
rnacentral:rRNA from 1 species